GAUGAACGCUGGCGGCGUGCCUAAUACAUGCAAGUCGAGCGAACAGACGAGGAGCUUGCUCCUCUGACGUUAGCGGCGCACGGGUGAGUCACACGUGGAUAACCUCCCUAUAAGACUGGGAUAACUUCGGGAAACCGGAGCUAAUACCGGAUAAUAUAUUGAACCGCAUGGUUCAAUAGUGAAAGACGGUUUUGCUGUCACUUAUAGAUGGAUCCGCGCCGCAUUAGCUAGUUGGUAAGGUAACGGCUUACCAAGGCAACGAUGCGUAUCCGACCUGAGAGGGGGAUCGGCCACACUGGAACUGAAACACGGACCAGACUCCUACGGGAGGCAGCAGUAGGGAAUCGUCCGCAAUGGGCGAAAGCUUGACGGAGCAACGCCGCGUGAGUGAUGAAGGUCUUCGGAUCGUAAAACUCUGUUAUUAGGGAAGAACAAAUGUGUAAGUAACUAUGCACGUCUUGACGGUAACUAAUCAGAAAGCCACGGCUAACUACGUG
rnacentral:rRNA from 1 species